UUCUUUCCUCAGUCAGGCGGCAGUGGAGAUGGAGGGUAGGGGUAGCACUGCGCACCCUGCCUCCCCGCUACCUUCCCUCAGCUUGGUGUACAUGACGACCCCUUGAUCCAGAUUCUGAAGCACAUCUGUUGCGCCGCACCUGCACUACAUUCAAAAGUCUACUGGGCUUGCAGACGUUGUGGGGUGAGGAAGGAAGCUGAGUGUGUGGACAAGUGGCAUGUUUCUCCUCGCCUCUCACUCCUCCUCCAGCAGCACUCUCCAUGAAGGUGCACAUGGAGGGAUGGGCAGUGAACUGAGGCCUGGAGGAUUACAGCAGUGGUGGACAGUUUAAGAAAAAUGUGUUGUUUGUCAAAGUAAGGGAACCAAUCAGUUGGACUAAGAAUGGAAGAAAACAGCCAGGAAUCAACAGCAAGAGUUGGAAAUGGUUAAGGAAGUUAAAUAAAUUAUUAAUAAGAAGGCUUCCCAGCAAAGAUGAGACUGCCCAUUCAUUCAUGGGUUGCAGCUGAGGCUUCUGCAACUUUGUCACCAAUUAUACAGCAGCUCUUGUAGCAUUGUCAGCCUGUCAAUCAGUUACUGCUGACAUUGACCUGACCUCUCCUCACUGUGAGUUGUUUUUUCUUGUAUCUUCACUAUUUGUUCAAUACUGUUUCUUGAUCACAGGACAAGAAUGAUCAUGGAUUAUGAUGCUUUAUCAUAAUUAAAACUCACUAAAGGAUAACAGAUAAUACAAAUUUGUCAUGGAUGGAGUGAAGAUUUUAUAACACUUUUUGUUCUAUGCUGCUCUUUUGAUGAUAUUCUCUUGAUGUAAAUCAAAAUGGUAGUACAUGGAAGCUCUGAACAUGGUGGUGUUAUAUCUUGGAUAAGGCUGAAUGGAAGGGUGGUAAGCAGCCCUUUAUCCCACAUUGUUAGCACAAGACAAUAGUAGCUGAGUGUGUGUGUGUCCUCACAGUGCCAGAGCUGCUGUUGUCUUGCAGCUACAGCUUGUGAUAAAGUUGCUUACCAUCCUUCCUUUAUGCUUUGUCUGAAACUUUUAAUUCCAUCAUCUAAAGAACUUCCUAUAAUAUGUACUUCCAUUUUUAUUUACAGCAUCAUUAAAAAAUACUAUAAAAAUUUUUGUUGUUUGUGAUGUCACUUGUAAUAUUUGUUGUAACGCCUACACAAAAUUCUGUCCAAUAAUCAUGGAAGCCAUGGAAGUACUGAACAAAACAAGGGAUACACUGGGAAGGGAAGAGAAACAAUGUGGAGGCCAGUGUCUUGUGUCUGUUUGUGGUACAGGCUGAGCCAUGGACCAAACAGCAACAAGUAGUUUAGGUUCCAGUUGCAGGUUUGAAAUGAAUGGACUACAGUUGAUGGGCAAGAUAAGGUAGAACCACAAACCACAGGAAGACUGCCACCUGAUGAGACUAACACAGCCUCCCUUGUGUGAUGACAUCUUACUUCUCUGGCCCACUUCAUGCACCACCUUUCUCAUAGGUUUGUCAGAUAGUGUUGUCAGUGAUGCCACAGAGAAAUUAAUAGGAGCUGCCCAAUAUUCUUCCAUGAGACAGGAGUAUUGUUGCCACCACUUAUGUAAAGAAGCUUUGAAUUGUGGAAUUGUUUCCAAGAAUGAACUGAAAUUUAUUUUCAUAUCCUGAGAUACUUUGGAACUGUAAAUUGUAUGUGUACAUAGAUUGCAGCAGAUAUUUGAACUACUAGAGAACAGUGACCUAUGGUAAAUUACAAUAAUGCUUUACAUGAUUCAGAAGCAAUAUGAGAUGAGAAAAUGAACACUUUGUCAAAUCUUUGAUUUAAGCUUCUCAUGUGUACUGUUCCAAGACCAGCAGCAGCAGCACCUCCCUCUCAUGGAAGGGUAAUUGACAACUGGGACUAAUUUUAUUUACUACUGAUAGUGACAACGUUGAUGACACACUGUCUCUAGAUAGUCCUAUGAAAUGGUUACAAAUGGUUACUGUAAAGUGGACAUUACAAGCAACAUGCAACCUCAAAAUGCAAGGCUCACAGUACACACAAGGACAAUUUUCCCUCAAAAUUGGCUAGUGGAACUUUUUUUCACCUGAAAACCAUUAUUGCUUCUAACAGAUGCAAUUGUGAUAUUUUGAUUUUAUGGCAAUGUACUACUCUUAAAAUUACACACAAUAAAUAAUGGGAAAUUA